GCGUAAUUGGUUUAGUGGUAAAAUUCUCCGUUGCCAUUCGAGCAGCGUCGGUGGGUUCGAUUCCCAGAUUACGCA
rnacentral:tRNA from 1 species